rnacentral:rRNA from 1 species
UCGGGAAUUUUGGGCAAUGGGCGCAAGCCUGAUCCAGCCAUGCCGCGUGAGUGAAGAAGGCCUUCGGGUUGUAAAGCUCUUUUACCAGGGACGAUAAUGACGGUACCUGGAGAAUAAGCCCCGGCAAACUUCGUGCCAGCAGCCGCGGUAAUACGAAGGGGGCUAGCGUUGUUCGGAAUUACUGGGCGUAAAGCGCACGUAGGCGGAUUGUUAAGUCAGAGGUGAAAUCCCGGAGCUCAACUUCGGAACUGCCUUUGAUACUGGCAAUCUAGAGUCCGGAAGAGGUUAGUGGAAUUCCCAGUGUAGAGGUGAAAUUCGUAGAUAUUGGGAAGAACACCAGUGGCGAAGGCGGCUAACUGGUCCGGUACUGACGCUGAGGUGCGAAAGCGUGGGGAGCAAACAGGAUUAGAUACCCCCGUAGUCCCUGAGCGGGCUGGCAAGGCGCAU